rnacentral:tRNA from 1 species
GACCCCAUAGUGUAGCGGUUAGCACUUCACCCUUUCACGGUGGCGGCACGGGUUCGAAUCCCGUUGGGGUCG